rnacentral:SRP_RNA from 1 species
GGGUAUAGGGCUUAGUAUGACUAUUAAAUUUAUUUACCAUGUCAGAAUCGUAAGAUAGCAGCAUAAAAUAGACAUUUGUAGUUAGUAUGAAACCUAUACCUG